rnacentral:snRNA from 1 species
AUCGCUUCUUGGCCUUUUGGCUAAGAUCAAGUGUAGAAUUACUUGUCAAAGAAAAGUUCUUGUCUUCUGAAGUUACACGUCUUUCAACAUCCUUCUCUGAAAAACUGCAUUGUUCUUCCAGCCAGAGCUUCACAA